GCCCGGGUGGCGCAAUGGUUUAGCGCACGCGACUUUUACUGUGCAGUCUUGUGCUGUAGGCAAAAUCGUGGGGUUGUGGGUUCGAGUCCCACCUCGGGCG